rnacentral:tRNA from 2 species
UGCGAUUUAAUGUAAUUGGUUAACAUCUCUGACUCAUGAUCAGUGUAUUAAGGUUCAAGUCCUUAGGUCGCAC